UUACAUACGCAGUGCAAAAAAAUAUCACCCAAAUUUUAAAUUUUACCGCAAAACCCGUCGCCCGCAAGCUUCCAGCUUCUGCCCUGUCUAGGAUCUCUCCCAUCAGGACGUUUCGCCUUUCCUUUCGCAUUGUGCAGGUCGCAGCUUCUAAUCCUUCACAGUAUCAUUAUGUUGCGCCUCCUUGUCUCUCGCACCUCUCGUCGUUGUGUUGGCAUCGGGGUCAUUGCUUUCAUCGCCGCCUCUGACUUCUUGGAUGAUAAUAACUCUUCUCUUUCAAGAGCACCGAUUUCCCAUUCCCCCCUCCUUCAUCAGUUCCUCUUCCAUCCAUCAGAUUUUGUCUUGCAGGGCUUUGCUUCUUCAUUGCUCUUCUCUAACCCUAUUGGAGGUUCUUAUAUUUUUCCUUUCUCUGUUUAUUA